UACGUAGGGGGUAAGCGUUGUCCGGAAUCAUUGGGCGUAAAGAGCGUGUAGGCGGCCAGAUAAGUCCGCUGUGAAAUCUCGAGGCUCAACUUCGAGCUGUCGGUGGAAACUGUCUGGCUAGAGUCCGGAAGAGGAGAAUGGAAUUCCUGGUGUAGCGGUGAAAUGCGCAGAUAUCAGGAAGAACACCCGUGGCGAAGGCGGUUCUCUGGGACGGUACUGACGCUGAGACGCGAAAGCGUGGGGAGCGAACAGG
rnacentral:rRNA from 1 species